rnacentral:rRNA from 1 species
UGACUGGGGCGGUCUCCUCCUAAAGAGUAACGGAGGAGCACGAAGGUUGGCUAAUCCUGGUCGGACAUCAGGAGGUUAGUGCAAUGGCAUAAGCCAGCUUGACUGCGAGCGUGACGGCGCGAGCAGGUGCGAAAGCAGGUCAUAGUGAUCCGGUGGUUCUGAAUGGAAGGGCCAUCGCUCAACGGAUAAAAGGUACUCCGGGGAUAACAGGCUGAUACCGCCCAAGAGUUCAUAUCGACGGCGGUGUUUGGCACCUCGAUGUCGGCUCAUCACAUCCUGGGGCUGAAGUAGGUCCCAAGGGUAUGGCUGUUCGCCAUUUAAAGUGGUACGCGAGCUGGGUUUAGAACGUCGUGAGACAGUUCGGUCCCUAUCUGCCGUGGGCGCUGGAGAACUGAGGGGGGCUGCUCCUAGUACGAGAGGACCGGAGUGGACGCAUCACUGGUGUUCGGGUUGUCAUGCCAAUGGCACUGCCCGGUAGCUAAAUGCGGAAGAGAUAAGUGCUGAAAGCAUCUAAGCACGAAACUUGCCCCGAGAUGAGUUCUCCCUGAGACUUAGAGUCUCCUGAAGGAACGUUGAAGACGACGACGUUGAUAGGCCGGGUGUGUAAGCGCAGCGAUGCGUUGAGCUAACCGGUACUAAUGAACCGUGAGGCUUAACCUUACAACGCCG